GGUGCUCAAUCCAGGGAAACAUUCAAAGCUGCUCCUGUCUGUCAGCUAAAGAUGACAAAUAUUUAUCAUCUCUGGACACCCCUCCAGCCUCUGAAAUAUGUACUCCAGUCAUGAAGCAGAGAAUGUUAUAGAGAAGACAAAGAAUUAAAUGACUGUUUAUCUUCCUUGGAACCAGAGACUCUCAUACUGAGUGAGGCGGGUGAGGAAGAGCCACCCACCAUUCAGGGCUUGUUUCCACUUGCCCCAAAGGCCUCCCUCGUCUAGGACACCAUUUUCUGGAAAAAGAUGAACAUCUGUAAGGACAGCCAGCUAGGCUGUUACAAGGCCUCCUCCUUCCAUCACCCCACAGGGAGUAAAUCUGGGCAGGGAAGGACCCAGCCAGAUGUGGAUGUCUGCAUGCUGCUGGGGCAACAUCCGCAUUUUUACAGAAAAAGACAGAUACCAUAUGAUCUCACUUGCACAUGGAAUCUAAAAACAAACAAAACAACUACCUCACAGAUACAGAAAACAGAUUGGUGGCUGCCAGAGCUGCUGCUUGCACAGUUGGAAUAACGUGCCACUAUGAGGUGGCUACUUCGUGAACCGGAGGUUCUCAUUCAGAGUAUAAAUUCAGAGGAAAGACAUCUUCAGGUAAAGAAGGAACAGAAAAUACCAAGUGGUUCUCCACAGGGACCUGUAUGUUUUUCACUACCUAUGGGAGGGAAGUGAAAACCUGUGUUUAGGGAUCCAUUGAAGAAUUUGGUGGUAUUCAUCCUAGUUCAGAGCAACCCCAUGCUGAGCAGAUUGCAUUCCAUCAUGAAAUAAUUGGUAUAGAGGACCUUGAAUAGGCAUGCUCUAUACUUCCAGCAUUUAGUAAAACUCAAAUGGCAGCUGUAAUGACAUUAGUUUAUCACUUCUCAUUCAUCAAAGACUAAAAGUAUUGGAGAAAUUCAUUGGAUAAUAUAACAUCCAUUACACCUUGACUCUGUAUCAGUGAUCAAAGGUGUAAAUACCAUAAGCACGACACUGAUGUUUAUACUCCAAAGUUUGACACCUCACUUUGGGCACAGGAAUAUUAAAAUGUUCUUAGCUAUAAUUCCUCUCCAAAUGUAAAAUUAAUCAUCAAGGCUUUCAAUAGCUUUACUUACUAUGCUGCACCUUAUUUUUUACAACAACCUAAGGAAAUACUCUAGCUACUGAGGCAGUGUUAUUGUAUGCCAAAAGGUGGAGGAGACUGCUAAUAAAGCAAAACCAACCCAAACCAAACCACCACCAACAACAAAACCCAGAAAACCAACUACUGAUAAUGCAGAGGUAAGUUUUUAUUAGGGGUUCUAAAGUGACAUAUGCCAGCUAAAUUAAACUUUUUAAGAUGGUGGAUUAGCCACAGAGUGAAAUCUUUCACACAGACCUCAAAGAAAUCAUAGAAAAGAGUUUUUUAAAAAAUGAUUAAAUACAUAUUUAUGCUUGGAAACCAAAGAAGAGAAUCUCUACAGAUUAGAAAGACAUACCUCAAAAUAGGAAACAAAUAGGAAGCGACAGUGGUAAAAAGAGGCCAAUGCUUUCAGAAAACUAUACUGGUCUAAAGGCAUAUAUAUACACAUAUAUAGGUACAUGUGUAUGUGUGCACACACAUUUGCAGGAAAGAUUUUAUGAAACAUACCAUCUAGUUGUUUAUACUACAAGGGUCAUUUAAAACCUGAACUUUAGGUUCUCCAAAUUUAGGUUAAUAUUGUUGAGAUUUAGGUGAUGUCCUAAGGAGAUCAUUUAGAAUUCAUGAUGGACAAAAAAGUCAUUCUUAGAAAAUGAAAAAACAAGAGCAAGACACCAAGCAUCUGAAAAUCUAACAUGUGAAGGAAGGAAAACACAAUGCACUUAUGGAAGAGUUUAAACUUGGAAAGAAGAGAAAUAAUGCAGCAAUUUGAAAAUGUUUUUAAUAUGUGUAUCUAGUACCCAGGAAGAUAGCAAAUAAAGAUAUAAAUAGUUAUUUGCUUUUUUUAUAAAAAAAUAUAGAAAAUAUGCUAUUGACCAAUGCCAGGCACAUAUUAAACACUUUAUGAAAUUCAGCCAUUAUUUUCUUUCACUAUAAUUUUGGCUUCAUGAAAGCAGAGAAUUUUGUUUGUUUUAUUUACUGCUAUGUUCUCCAGCAUGUAGAAGAAUUUCUUACACAUGGAACAAAAAUUGAACAACUAAUUUUUAGAUAAAAAGGCUCAGAGGAAAUGAACCCAACUAGCAUCCAUGAAGAUGUGGGUUCGAUCCCUGGCCCUCACUCAGUGGGUUAAGGAUUCGGAGUUGCCAUGAGCUGCAGUGUAGGUCACAGACGUGGCUCAGAUCUGGCAUUGCUGUAGCUGUGAUGUAGGCUGGCAGCUAUAACUUGGAUUAGACCCCUAGCCUGGGAACUUCCAUAUGCUACAGGUGUGGCCCUAAGCACCAAAAGAAAAAAAAA
rnacentral:lncRNA from 1 species